CCUACGGGUGGCAGCAGUGGGGAAUAUUGCACAAUGGGGGGAACCCUGAUGCAGCGACGCCGCGUGAGUGAAGAAGUAUUUCGGUAUGUAAAGCUCUAUCAGCAGGGAAGAAGAUGACGGUACCUGACUAAGAAGCCCCGGCAAACUACGUGCCAGCAGCCGCGGUAAUACGUAGGGGGCAAGCGUUAUCCGGAUUUACGGGGUGUGAAGGGAGCGUAGACGGCAGGGCAAGUCUGGAGUGGAAGCCCGGGGCCCAGCCCAGGGACUGCUUUGGAAACUGCCAUGCUAGAGGGCUGGAGAGGUAGGCGGAAUUCGUAGUGGAGCGGUGAAAUGCGUAGAAAUUAGGAGGAAGACCGUUGGCGAAGGCGGCUUACUGGACAGUAACUGACGUUGAGGCUCGAAAGCAUGGGGAGCAAACAGGAUUAGAUACCCGAGUAGUA
rnacentral:rRNA from 1 species